rnacentral:rRNA from 1 species
UACGUAGGGGGGCAAGCGUUUGUCCGGAUUUAUUGGGCGUAAAGAGCGUGUAGGCGCCAGACAGGUCCGUUGUGAAAACUAGAGGCUUAACCUCUAGACGUCGAUGGAAACCGUCUGGCUAGAGUCCGGAAGAGGAGAAUGGAAUUCCUGGUGUAGCGGUGAAAUGCGCAGAUAUCAGGAAGAACACCCGUGGCUAAGGCGGUUCUCUAGUACGGUACUGACGCUGAGACGCGAAAGCGUGGGGAGCGAACAGG